GUGCAGUUAGUAUAGUGGUUUAGUACGCUCGUUCCGCAAGCGAGUAUCCCGGGUUCGACUCCCGGACCGCACA
rnacentral:tRNA from 1 species